GCUGGGCGCAGUGGUGGGCACCUGUAAUCCCAGCUACUCAGGAGGCUGAGGCAGGAGAAUUGCUUGAACCCGGGAAGCAGAGGUUGCAGUGAGUGGAGAUCAUGCCAUUGCACUCCCGCCUGGGUGACAGAGCAAGACUCUGUCUCAA
rfam:Pan troglodytes isolate Yerkes chimp pedigree #C0471 (Clint) chromosome 12, whole genome shotgun sequence.